rnacentral:rRNA from 1 species
UACGUAGGGGGGCAAGCGUUGUCCGGAAUCAUUGGGCGUAAAGAGCGUGUAGGCGGCCAGAUAAGUCCGCUGUGAAAACUCGAGGCUCAACUUCGAGCUGUCGGCGGAAACUAUCUGGCUAGAGUCCGGAAGAGGAGAGUGGAAUUCCUGGUGUAGCGGUGAAAUGCGCAGAUAUCAGGAAGAACACCCGUGGCGAAGGCGGCUCUCUGGGACGGUACUGACGCUGAGGAGCGAAAGCCAGGGGAGCAAACGGG